rnacentral:rRNA from 1 species
AUUGAACGCUGGCGGCAGGCCUAACACAUGCAAGUCGAGCGGAUGAAGAGAGCUUGCUCUCUGAUUUAGCGGCGGACGGGUGAGUAAUGCCUAGGAAUCUGCCUGGUAGUGGGGGAUAACGCUCCGAAAGGAACGCUAAUACCGCAUACGUCCUAAGGGAGAAAGCAGGGGACGUUCGGGCCUUGCGCUAUCAGAUGAGCCUAGGUCGGAUUAGCUAGUUGGUGAGGUAAUGGCUCACCAAGGCUACGAUCCGUAACUGGUCUGAGAGGAUGAUCAGUCACACUGGAACUGAGACACGGUCCAGACUCCUACGGGAGGCAGCAGUGGGGAGUAUUGGACAAUGGGCGAAAGCCUGAUCCAGCCAUGCCGCGUGUGUGAAGAAGGUCUUCGGAUUGUAAAGCACUUUAAGUUGGGAGGAAGGGCAGUAAGUUAAUACCUUGCUGUUUUGACGUUACCGACAGAAUAAGCACCGGCUAACUUCGUGCCAGCCGCCGCCGUAA